rnacentral:rRNA from 1 species
CGGGUGAGUAACACGUAUGCAAUCCACCUGUAGCAGGGGGAUAACCCGGAGAAAUCCGGACUAAUACCCCAUAAUAUGGGCGCUCCGCAUGGAGAGCCCAUUAAAGAGAGCAAUUUUGGUCACAGACGAGCAUGCGCUCCAUUAGCCAGUUGGCGGGGUAACGGCCCACCAAAGCGACGAUGGAUAGGGGUUCUGAGAGGAAGGUCCCCCACAUUGGAACUGAGACACGGUCCAA